rnacentral:rRNA from 1 species
GUCCUUUUGAAAUUGAUUUAAGGUCUAGCCUGCCCACUGAGGUAUUAAAGGGCUGCGGUAUUCUGACCGUGCUAAGGUAGCAUAAUAAUUAGUUUUUUAAUUGAAAGCUGGAAUGAAAGGUUGGACGAGAAAAAUACUGUCUCAAAUUAAAUUUUUUAGAAUUUUAUUUUUAAGUAAGAAAGCUUAAAUUUUUUAAAAAGACGAGAAGACCCUAUAGAGUUUUAUAAAAAUUUUUAUUUUUAAAUUUUAAGAAUUUAAGUUUUUAAUCAUUAUUUUUAUUUGGUUGGGGUGACUGAAAAAUUAAAUUAACUUUUUCUUUAUUUUUACACUAAUUAGUGAAUUUUUGAUCCAUUAUUUGAUUAAAAGAUUAAAUUACCUUAGGGAUAACAGCGUAAUUUUUCUAGAGAGUUCUAAUCGAAAGAAGAGUUUGCGACCUCGAUGUUGGAUUAAAAUUAAUUUUUGGUGCAGAAGCUAAGAGUUUAGGUCUGUUCGACCUUUAAAAUUU